rnacentral:sRNA from 1 species
CCCCGGCCCCUCCCUGGGCUGGCAUGGAGGCCCAAGUUGUGGCUCCUCCUCCACCCCAGCCCUGACCCUGCCUGAGCCUAGCCUCUGAUUCUUGUCCCUCAACCCUGGCUCAGAGCCCCCGACAUCCUCCCCUGGGGUUGGUCUCAGGUCCCAUAUCACAAGCCAGCUGUCUUCCUUUCAGCCCGGGCCGCGCAACGGGGACCUUCGACAAUGAAAUUGUCAUGAUGAAUCAUGUGUACCGGGAGAGGUUCCCCAAGGCCACAGCACAGAUGGAGGGCCGUCUGCAGGAGUUCCUGACGGCCUAUGCGCCUGGCGCCCGGCUGGCGCUGGCUGAUGGCGUCUUGGGCUUCAUCCACCACCAGAUCGUCGAGCUGGCCCGAGACUGCUUGGCCAAGUCUGGCGAGAACCUCGUCACCUCCCGCUACUUCCUAGAGAUGCAGGAGAAGCUGGA